rnacentral:rRNA from 2 species
CUGGCUCAGAUUGAACGCUGGCGGCAGGCCUAACACAUGCAAGUCGAGCGGUAACAUUUCUAGCUUGCUAGAAGAUGACGAGCGGCGGACGGGUGAGUAAUGCUUGGGAACGUGCCGUAAGGUGGGGGACAACCAUUGGAAACGAUGGCUAAUACCGCAUAAUGUCUACGGACCAAAGGGGGCUUCGGCUCUCGCCUUAUGAUCGGCCCAAGUGGGAUUAGCUAGUUGGUAAGGUAAUGGCUUACCAAGGCGACGAUCCCUAGCUGGUUUGAGAGGAUGAUCAGCCACACUGGAACUGAGACACGGUCCAGACUCCUACGGGAGGCAGCAGUGGGGAAUAUUGCACAAUGGGCGCAAGCCUGAUGCAGCCAUGCCGCGUGUGUGAAGAAGGCCUUAGGGUUGUAAAGCACUUUCAGUAAGGAGGAAAGGUUAGUAGUUAAUACCUGCUAGCUGUGACGUUACUUACAGAAGAAGCACCGGCUAACUCCGUGCCAGCAGCCGCGGUAAUACGGAGGGUGCGAGCGUUAAUCGGAAUUACUGGGCGUAAAGCGUACGCAGGCGGUUUGUUAAGCGAGAUGUGAAAGCCCCGGGCUCAACCUGGGAACUGCAUUUCGAACUGGCAAACUAGAGUGUGAUAGA